rnacentral:rRNA from 1 species
CUACGGGGCGCACCAGUGAGGAAUUUUGCGCAAUGGGGGAAACCCUGACGCAGCAACGCCGCGUGAGUGAAGAAGGCUUUCGGGUCGUAAAGCUCUGUCAGAUAGGAAAAAAGUUCAUAUGUAAAUAGCUUAUGAAUCUGAUGGUACUAUCAGAGGAAGCACCGGCUAACUCCGUGCCAGCAGCCGCGGUAAUACGGAGGGUGCAAGCGUUGUUCGGAAUUACUGGGCGUAAAGGGCGUGUAGGCGGUAUGGUAAGUCAGAUGUGAAAGCCCUGGGCUUAACUCAGGAAGUGCAUUUGAUACUGCCAUCCUUGAGUAUGGGAGAGGAGAGUAGAAUUCCCAGUGUAGAGGUGAAAUUCGUAGAUAUUGGGAGGAAUACCCGUGGCGAAGGCGACUCUCUGGACCAAUACUGACGCUGAGACGCGAAGGCGUGGGGAGCAAACAGGAUUAGAUACCCCUGUAGUC